rnacentral:rRNA from 1 species
CGCGCUAACUGCAAGUCGAGCGCUUCUUACGUCCUUGACUGCUUAUCUACGCUUGCGAACGAGGAGAGUCAUGCUUGGUAAUUUGCCUAUUAGUGGGCUAACCCUCUCAGGAGGGGUAAUCGCUAAUACCACAUGCGCUCAUACCGCAUAACAGUUGUAUAUCUUCAUGACCUAGCACUAAUAGACGCUCCUCAAGUCGUCACUAGAUGAGAUGGGACCCGGUAAAGCGCUUAACCUAGGCGACGAUGUAACAUGCUCUCCAGAGACGAUGAAGCCUCCACCACAUGCUCGACUAGACGACGACUCGCGCCAGACUCCUAACUGGAGACACGCAGCCGGACUCCUACGGACAGGCAGCAGUAACCCAAUCUCCAGCCAUGCCGCGAAGUGUCUAACAAAGCCACACCGUUGUGAGUCACUAUAGCUAAACGCGAUUAAGCAGUCCGCCUGGGGGAGUACGGUCCGCAAGGUUGAAACUCAAAGGAAUUGACGGGGGCCCGCCACAAGCGGUUGGAGCAUGUGGUUUAAUUCGAAGCAACGCGAAGAACCUUACCCAGGCCUUGACAUCCUAGAAACUUUUCCAGAGAUGGAUGGUUUCCCUUCGGGAAUCUAAAUACCAGGUGGUGCCAGGGUUUUCGUCAGCUUCGUGUUCGUGAGAUGUUGGGUUUAAUUCCCGCAAACGAGCGCAACCCUUUUCUUUUAUUGCCCAUCAUUUUAGAUGGGCACUUUAAGGAUACUGCCGGUGACAAACCGGAGGAAGGUGGGGAUGACGUCAAGUCAUCAUGGCCCUUACGGCCAGGGCUACACACGUGCUACAAUGGUCGGUACAAAGGGUUGCUACACAGCGGAUUUGAUGCUAAUCUCAAAAAGCUGUUUGUAGUCCGGAUUGGAGUCUGCAAUUCGACUCCAGGAAGUCGGAAUCGCUAGUAUUCGCGGAUCAGAAUGCCGCGGUGAAUACGUUCCCGGGCCUUGUACACACCGCCCGUCACAACCAUGAGAGUUUGUUGCACCAGAAGUAGGUAGUCUAACCGCAAGGAGGCCAGCUUGACCCACGGUGGUGAG